CUUUUGAUUAUAAUUUAAGGUCUGACCUGCCCAAUGAAGUUUAAAUGGCCGCGGUAUUUUGACCGUGCAAAGGUAGCAUAAUCAUUAGUUUUUUAAUUGAAAGCUGGAAUGAAAGGUUGGAUGAAAAAAUGACUGUCUCUAUAUAAAUUAUUUAGAAUUUUAUUUUCAAGUUAAAAAGCUUGAAUUAAAUUAGAAGACGAGAAGACCCUAUAGAGUUUUAUUAAUUUUUUUUAAGGUAUAUUUUAGUAUUUAUAAGUAUUUAUGAGUAAGUUAAUUUAGUUGGGGUGAUUGAAAAAUUUAAUAAACUUUUUUUUUAUCAGUACAUUAAUUUAUGGUUAUUUGAUCCUUUGUUUAAGAUUAUAAGAUAAAAUUACCUUAGGGAUAACAGCGUAAUUUUUUUUGAGAGUUCUUAUCGAAAAAAGAGAUUGCGACCUCGAUGUUGGAUUAAAAUAUAAUUUUGGUGUAGAAGCUAAA
rnacentral:rRNA from 1 species